UGGUCUUAUAAAAUAUUUUGGAAAGUUAAGGUUACAUAGUUGCCAAAGCAGGUAACCAGUAAAUAACCUGGUAAAAAUGUGAUUGUUUACUUCCGGUGCAGGUUACUUUCUUAUAUGCAAUGAAAUGUAGUGUGAAAUUUUCACUGUAGCACUGGAAAGGAUUAAACUUUAUUCAUGCAAAGUAUUUCUUUGGUUGAAAUAAAGUGUUCACAUGUUCUGAAGAACAUUCUGUUGAAAAAUCUUAUAUGUGAAUUGGUCUGCAGAUGACACUUCAGCAUUAAAACAAAAGAUAUCAAGUUUUGAUGAAAAAGGAAGGAAGGAGGAAAAAUGGACCAAAACAGACCAAAACAGACCUUCAAAUGAACUCUAAAAGGUGCAAUAAAAUUGUUUAUCAU